GAGAAACAUUCACAGAGUGGAAAGAAAUCAACGUUAAGAUGGAGGAAGAGAUGGAGGAUCAGCGCAGACUGAUGGAUUUUACCCGGAUACCGAGGAUCAUCUUACACCGGAUAGACUGGCGACCUGUCCAGGGUGACCCCGCGCACCAGCACCUCC